UACGGGGGGAGCAACGUUGUUCGGAAUCACUGGGCGUAAAGGGAGCGUAGGCGGCCAUGUAAGUGAGGUGUUAAAUCCCCCGGCUCAACCGGGGACCUGCACCUCAUACUGCACGGCUUGAGUACAUCAGAGGAGACUGGAAUUCCCGGGUGUAGGCGGUGAAAUGCGUAGAUAUCGGGAGGAACACCAGUGGCGAAGGCGAGUCUCUGGGAUGAUACUGACGCUGAUGCUCGAAAGCUAGGGGGAGCAAACGGG
rnacentral:rRNA from 1 species